rnacentral:misc_RNA from 1 species
GAUGAAUAGUGCACACAACUGUUCUCCCGGUAUCCACAGUAUUUCUGACUGUUCUCAUAACAAUUGAAGCUGCCCUUGCAUCAAGUCCAGAGGUAGGCUCGUCCAUGAAUAUUAUAGAGGGGUUAGCAACAAGCUCAACAGCAAUUGUUAAUCUCUUGCGCUGCUCUAUUGAUAGUCCAUUUACCCCUGGCAGCCCGACCAUUGCAUCUUUUAGUUUUUCCAGCUCCAUGAGUUCCAUUACAUCUCCCACAAACAUCUUUCUUGUUGCAAAAUCGACUUCAGGUGCUAAACGAAGCGACAUAGAGAAUAAGAGGGACUCAUAUACGGUCACAUUAGGGGAGUGGAUGUCGUUCUUCUCACAGUAUCCUGAUACACGAGAAAAAGUUUCCCGCUUCUUGGGAUACCCAGACACUGUUAUGGCACCUUCGAUAUAUCCACCUGUUUUUCUGCCAGCUAGUACAUCCAUCAAUGUAGUCUUUCCGGCACCGCUGACACCCAUUAG